UACGUAGGGAGCAAGCGUUGUCCGGAAUCAUUGGGCGUAAAGCGCGCGUAGGCGGCCCUGUAAGUCCGCUGUGAAAGUCAAAGGCUCAACCUUUGAAAGCCGGUGGAUACUGCAGGGCUAGAGUCCGGAAGAGGCGAGUGGAAUUCCUGGUGUAGCGGUGGAAUGCGCAGAUAUCAGGAGGAACACCAAUAGCGAAGGCAGCUCGCUGGGACGGUAACUGACGCUAAGGCGCGAAAGCGUGGGGAGCGAACAGG
rnacentral:rRNA from 1 species